CGAGCGUUGUCCGGAAUUAUUGGGCGUAAAGCGCGCGUAGGCGGUUCUUUAAGUCUGAUGUGAAAGCCCACGGCUCAACCGUGGAGGGUCAUUGGAAACUGGGGGACUUGAGUACAGAAGAGAAGAGUGGAAUUCCACGUGUAGCGGUGAAAUGCGUAGAGAUGUGGAGGAACACCAGUGGCGAAGGCGGCUCUUUGGUCUGUAACUGACGCUGAGGCGCGAAAGCGUGGGGAGCAAACAGG
rnacentral:rRNA from 1 species